rnacentral:rRNA from 1 species
GACGAACGCUGGCGGCGUGCUUAACACAUGCAAGUCGAACGGUAAGGCCCUUCGGGGUACACGAGUGGCGAACGGGUGAGUAACACGUGGGUGAUCUGCCCUGCACUUCGGGAUAAGCCUGGGAAACUGGGUCUAAUACCGGAUAGGACGCCGGACUGCAUGGUCUGGGGUGGAAAGCUUUUGCGGUGUGGGAUGGGCCCGCGGCCUAUCAGCUUGUUGGUGGGGUGAUGGCCGACCAAGGCGACGACGGGUAGCCGGCCUGAGAGGGUGACCGGCCACACGGGGAAUGUGAUCCGGCCCAGACUCCUCCGGGAGGCAGCAGUGGGGAAUAUUGCACAAUGGGCGCAAGCCUGAUGCAGCGACGCCGCGUGAGGGAUGAGGGCCUUCGGGUUGUAAACCUCUUUCAGCACAGACGAAGCGCAAGUGACGGUAUGUGCAGAAGAAGGACCGGCCAACUGCGUGCCAGCCGCCGCAGUAA